rnacentral:rRNA from 1 species
CACACCGCCCGUCACAUCACGAAAGUGGGCUGUACUAGAAGUCGCAAUUCCAACCCGCGAGGGGGGAUAGCGCCCAAGGUAUGACCCAUGAUUGGGGUG